UCAGUACACAAAGUUUAAAAUGUCUGGAAAGUUACUGAGUGACUUGAGCAGCAUGUUUCCUGUAGAUGUCAGUGUUUUUCAGUCCUGGUUGAGAGAGAACUACACAGUUUAAUGUUCCCACAGAUCAUUCUAAAGCUUUUCAUGGCUGUGUUAGACUGAGUGAGGAGAACACACACCUCCUGUCCUGUAUUUCACUACUGUUUCAGCACACACUCAGUCACUUCCUCUCAAUAAUCAACACUCAAUCCUCAUCUAAGAGCCUUGUGAUCUGAUAAAGUACUGAAAUGGUUCUUAACCAAUAACUCUGAUCUGACAUUGAUAAAAUAUCUUCACUUUCCAUUUCCAGUUGAUUAAAACAUUAUAAAUGUAGAAUAAAUGAAAGUGAUCCAGUGUUUGUGAUCCUUUCACUCUGAACAGGGUUUCAUGGAAAAAGCAGUACAUUAGGAUGGAAAAAGGAACCUGGUUAGAUUUUAAUGACAUGACAAGGGGGUGUGUCUAAAGUACAGGGCUUUUCUUAAUCUGGUGUGAGCUCCAGUUCUAAACAUCUCUUAUUGUUCCUGGAUAAACUUUAAUAAAACACUUCAUAUUAUUAUAGCAGCACAACACUGAUUAUUAUUUAAGGAUCAGUGAUGACAUCAUCUGCAUGUAUGGCUGAAAAACACUGAACAAUAUCAGUAAAUGUAGUCUGAUGUUUGAUAGAUUUUCUUUGAGGACACGUUUUCCUCAGCGCUGUACUGAUAUCUCUGUGUGGUUUAAUGUGUGUUUUAGAGGACAGUGUUAAUGAGAGAGGAUCUUUAUUCGACAAGAACUGGAUUAUUUUAGAUGUUGUGAGCGUAAUCUUCAUCAUCAUCAUCAUCAUCAUCAUCAUCUGUGUGUCUGUGUACUACAGGGUGAUAGCUUGCAGACGUGCCGCCAACUCCACUGAACAGGAUGGAAACAGACCGUUGGACACUAUUCAUUUCGACGCAACGUCCGACAGUGUGACGUCCACAACAGUCAACACACAACCACAGAGUUAAUGACCAACACAAGAUGGUCUGCUCUGAUCUCAUCAUGGAUUUCAGAUCAUCUUAAACUUCAUCCCUGCACCACUGAGCUGAUGUUCAUCUCUGGAGCUUCAUCACCAUGUCAGGAUCUUCUGAUUUACUGCAGAACUCUCAGAUCACACAUCAUGGACCAUCAGUUACUCUUCUAUCUAACCUGACUUGGUCUUGGUCAUGUGAUGUUACACUAAAUAAUGAACUGUGAACAGCAGUAAUUUUUACAUUUAUAUUUUUAUUUGUUGUUUUAUUUUGAUGUAGUUUGUUGUGUUUAUGUAGCGGGUCCUGGCUAGGUCCCCACUGGCAGAUAUAUAUAUAAUCCUGAAACUGAAAAUAUCAGAAAUCUUCCUGAGAAAUCAGCGACGCAGGACAACUGUUGCUCAUUCUCCAGUAACACGGAUUAUAUUUAUUUUCAACUUCAUUUUAACUUUGCACCUGCAAUCAUGAAUCAUUUUCUGUUAUUUUUGUCUGCUUUGUAUUGAAGCUCAGGUUAUAUCCACAUUUGGGUAACAAUUAAGAAUAUAAUUCUUCAUAAGGUCUGUUUUCACAUAAAUGCAUCCUCACAUAUUUUACAACUCAAACAUUUGUAUGAAACCAAAAACAAGCAUUUUCCCUUCAAACACCUUACAUCUUUGUUCUUUUAUCCAAAAGAGUAUUUUUGUAAUAAUUACAUUUUAUAAGUGUUCACUUUAUACAACAGAAUAAAUUCCAUUUGCAGUUAAACUGUAUUACAUUUACUGUAUUAGAACCCAAACUU